rnacentral:SRP_RNA from 1 species
CCGUGCAGCUGGGGAGGUGGCGGUGCCCUGUACCUACAAUCCGCCAUAGUAGGAGUGAUAUCCCGCCCCGGGCCGGUUGGUCGGAAGCUGCCCUGCAUAAGUGGCGUUGAUGUCUGGGUCUUGCGCAACAGGAACCUGUGAACCGUGUCAGGUUGGGAACAAAGCAGCACUAAGCGGGACCUUCUGUGUGCCGCAAGGGUGCCUGGGCUGAGUUAACUGUGCAGGUAACGUUCCGGUCUAAGGUUCAAAGCGGGAUGCACGG